rnacentral:rRNA from 1 species
AUUGAACGCUGGCGGCAGGCUUAACACAUGCAAGUCGAGCGGGGGAAGGUAGCUUGCUACCGGACCUAGCGGCGGACGGGUGAGUAAUGCUUAGGAAUCUGCCUAUUAGUGGGGGACAACAUCUCGAAAGGGAUGCUAAUACCGCAUACGUCCUACGGGAGAAAGCGGGGGAUCUUCGGACCUUGCGCUAAUAGAUGAGCCUAAGUCGGAUUAGCUAGUUGGUGGGUAAAGGCCUACCAAGGCGACGAUCUGUAGCGGGUCUGAGAGGAUGAUCCGCCACACUGGGACUGAGACACGGCCCAGACUCCUACGGGAGGCAGCAGUGGGGAAUAUUGGACAAUGGGGGGAACCCUGAUCCAGCCAUGCCGCGUGUGUGAAGAAGGCCUUAUGGUUGUAAAGCACUUUAAGCGAGGAGGAGGCUACUCUAGUUAAUACCUAGGGAUAGUGGACGUUACUCGCAGAAUAAGCACCGGCUAACUCUGUGCCAGCCGCCGCGGUAAUAC